rnacentral:rRNA from 1 species
GACGAACGCUGGCGGCGCGCCUAACACAUGCAAGUCGAACGAGCGAGAGAGAGCUUGCUUUCUCGAGCGAGUGGCGAACGGGUGAGUAACGCGUGAGGAACCUGCCUUCAAGAGGGGACGAACAGUUGGAAACGGACUGCUAAUACCGCAUGACACAUUGAGGGGGCGAUCCCUUUGAUGUCAAAGAUUUAUCGCUGAAAGAUGGCCUCGCGUCCCAUUAGCUAGUUGGUGAGGUAACGGCCCACCAAGGCGACGAUGGGUAGCCGGACUGAGGGGUUGACCGGCCACAUUGGGACUGAGAUACGGCCCAG